UACGAAGGGUGCUAGCGUUGUUCGGAAUUACUGGGCGUAAAGGGCGCGUAGGCGGCUUUCCAAGUCAGGGGUGAAAUCCCGGGGCUCAACCCCGGAAUUGCCUUUGAAACUGGAAAGCUAGAGUGUCGGAGGGGAUAGCGGAAUUGCUAAUGUAGAGGUGAAAUUCGUAGAUAUUAGCAGGAACACCGGUGGCGAAGGCGGCUAUCUGGACCGUAACUGACGCUGAGACACGAAAGCGUGGGUAGCAAACAGG
rnacentral:rRNA from 1 species